CCCAACUUCAGCUGAGUAUUCAAGUAUAGUGGAGCAACUACCCACAACAAAUAUCAUCUGAUACUCAAAUGAGGAAGUUCCCCGCUGAAUUUCAAAUUAUAAAUGAUUUGGAAAAUGAUGCUGUAGCCCCUAUUGAAAGCUGGCAUAGACAAGUACUGAUCUGCAUUAAUAUCACGGUACAGAAAUCAGCGAACCAAAAACGUAUAAUGCAGCACUGAUUUGAAUAAUUCUUUUAGAAUAAGAGAAAUUUGAUAAGAAGGAAAACGAGCACACUGGAUAGAGAUACCGGUGGUGAACGUGGGAGGCCUUGUACCAGGGAUGCAACCCCUGACAGGUACAGUACAUGGAUACUGAGCAGUUACUUCCUUCACCGUAUGCCAUUCAUAUGCUGGAGUUAUGUCAACAGACCCAGAGUCAUCUAGAAUCUCAUCGACGACGGAAUCUAACCAAUACUCAAUCUCAUCAGUGGAAUCUACUUGGAGUCAUCAAUAUUAAGGCAUGUGAACUUCAUCUAUCAAUCUUCAGAUGUUCAACCAAUGGAACCAUUGUUUUCUGAUGUACUUCAACCACGAACUGAUCACCUUGCCUGAGCGUUUUAUUAUUAUAUGAACUCUGUUUUAAAUCAUAUUAUACUGAAUUGAUAAUAACUGACACAUGAACAACCAGCUAAGCAAAAGAAUUUUAAUUAAUUUCAUGAACACUCAAACUGUAAUAUACUGUAAAUACCAUAAUAAUGAGAUUGCUUAUAAUAAAAUCAGUGCAGAAUGUUAUUUAAUGUAUUUCAUUAUACAUUAUAAUACUAUAAUGCAUCGAUAGGCUUAUGUAUUUGUUAUUAUUUCUGCAUACAUACUGUAUGAGAAGUGGGACACUUCUUGGAAAGAGGAGGAGUAGUGUAACCUUUCAACUUUAGGAUAUACAUAUUAUGGGAUGGUCCUGCGAAAUAGUCUCGUGGGCCGAUUUGAUAGGA